AAAACAACAGCAGCCGAGCAGCAACAUCCUUGCUGUGGCUGGGGGGUAAGACUUUUCCUCUCGGCGCGCUAAUCAAUGAAAUUAAAGUUGGGCCAAAAACCGAAAGAACUUUAAGAACUUACAACAGAGCGGGGGGAAGGAACUUCUGGCUACAACGCGGGCAGGGAUGCGGUGGUGUAGUAAGCGAGAGGCUGCCUGCCAACUUUAAUGAACGGAAAUUAGCCAGUCGCAGUCGUAGGGCGAAGGCAAAGUCAAAAGGUAAAGGCCCUCCGCCAAGAUUUGUACAUAGAGAUGCUGCCGGGGCGAAUUACUCCACGAGAAGCAAGUAGCGGCAGACUUGCUCAUACGGGAAUCAAGCUGCGGCGAAUUUGUCAGAAGCAGCAAGCUGGGGCGCAAGCUAGUUGCGGCGAAUUACUCACUCACGACAAGCAAGUUGCUGCGAGUUCGUGGAGCAGCGUUGCGAGAGAGAGAGAACGAACAAGAACAGACAUGCGCCAAAGAAAGCGCUAAAGUGAUUGGCUGCCCGUCAGUACCUGUGCCCCCCGCGUGUCUGUGAGAGCGCAGCUGUGUGGAUUGCUUUCCCAUCUGCUGUUGCUGCUGUUGCUUCUACUAUCGCUCAGCUCUGCUCUCCGUUGAGGCAUAAACAAACCAUUUUGAAUAAAAUCAACAGCAGCUAAAGCUCCAGCCAGCAACAACUUUGUUGCACGGCGGUGUGGAACCCAAGUUUUUCGAGUGAGAAAAAUCUCUGUAGCUGCUCGGAGCUCUUGCCACUGCUGAUGCUGCUACUGCAACUGCUUCUUCUUGUUGUUGGCGAUUGCAGUUUUUCAGUUGCAACUCCGUUGGCCGUUUGUCGGUUGUCGUCCUCGCGAAUUCUCUCGUUCUGCUGCCACUUUUUUUUUACAUCUCUGUGCGUGACAGCAACAAUAACAACAACAACCGUCAAAGGACGCCUCUUGUAAUUAUUUUAAUUUAUGCGUUUAUCGCUGCUUUUUGCUGCUUUUGCCGCCGUUUUGGGGCAUCGCUUUUGCUGCGGUUUCUUCUUUUGUCCACGCUUUUUUGCUCUACGCCUUUUGACAGUCCAGCGAAUAAUUCUCGGCUCUGCCAUCAUCGCAAAUGUCAAAUCUGGGAUUUGCUGUGGCUGAGGAUUUGGCUAAGACAGGCUCUGGUUGUAUAGGGCGUAUGCAAGAUGUUGCAAGACUGCCGACGGCGCCGAAAAUGGAAAAUAUAUUGAAAUAAAACUAGGAAUAAUACAUGAAGUUCAAAUGAAAUUUAAUUUUUUUUGAAAAGAAUUUAAAGUAAAUUUAAAGUUCCCAAUGUAUUGGGAAAAAAGAAACAGUAACAGUAAUUAAUUUUAUUUGUCCCAACUGUGGUGUCCUUUUACAUGAGAGGCUGAAACGAUUCCGAAUGAUUAACAUAUGUAUACUUAUUUUUUAAAUAUUUUUAAACAUGUUAAAAGUGUUUAGAAUAUAUUUCUACAAUUAUCUAAAGAUAAAUCCUAGUAGAAAUGAAAUACAUAUAAACAAUUUCCAUACUGGGUUUUUUGUCGCUUUUCGAGCAGUAUAUUCGAACUAAAUUGUAUUGUCUUUAACGCCAAAGCCAAAGUGUCCCUAGUCAUCUCCCACCCCAAAACUCUCCCAUACUCACUCUCUGCCCCGUGUCGAAUACAUUUUUAUGCCACUCAAAAACUACAAAUCAACUUAAGCGGGGAGGGCACAGAAUUUUCAGAAUUCUUUAGCCCCAAGAGCAGAACAGAAGCAGCAGCAGCAGCAGCAGCAGCAGCGGUAACAGCAGCCAGUCAAUACAUACAUAAUUCCAAAUCCGAUAAGAGCCACCCACUCACACGCACACAAGCACACACACACACACAGCCAUUUAUAUAUGUAUUUUAUAUAUAAAACCCACCCACACAAUACACGCUUUUGAUUUUAAAACUCGUGCAAAGAAACGUGCAAAAAAAAGAGAAAAGAAUAGAAAAGAAUGAGAGGCAGCAGGAAAAACGAAGUCAAACGGAGCCCAAGCACCCACCCACAAGAGCCACCUGCUGGCUGGGACACACACACAAAAACCUCCAAACACACACAUACAACAGUACAACACACACACACACACACACACACACAGAAGUACUCCGCCACAUCUUCCAUAAAAAUAAAUAAAAUAAAAUAAAAAUUCGCUUGACAUUUUGUGGAUACGUCGGACCGACAUCGUCGUCUUGGUCGUCUUCGUCUUCGUCUUCUUCGUCGGCUGCACUCGUCGUGAAAUUCUCUUUUGCUCUUACUCAUUUUCUGUGUUUUUUUGUGUGCUGCUGUUUUUUUUUGUAUUAUUUGCUCAUAUCUCCUUGCGCGUUUUUUUAAAUCAGUCGUUUGUCGGAAGUCAAUCAAAAAGCGUGUCUCCCGCCCAGAGCACAGAGCAAACAGCCAGGAAGUGUAUCGUCCCCGAGGCGAGGAUCAAAACCGAUCCCCAAAACAAUUAAAAUUUCUAAAAAGUGUUUGCCAAAAGAAACAAUUAAAUUAUAAUUCGAGCGCGAUUUCCCGGUGUCGUGUGUCCCGUGCCCAGCAGGCAACGCAGGAGGUGCGCCAGCAGCCCCAUGUGAGUGUGUGUGUGUCGCUACUGAAGAUCUCUUAGAGAGAGACAGAGAGAGAGAGAGAGAGAGAGAGAUCUAUGGAGUGGUGUCCCUUUGGGUUAUAAGUGAGCGUGUGUCUGUGUGUGUGUGUCGGCCGGUGGAGCUCCACUUGCAACGCCCACACUCAAGUGGAAACGAUCGAUGGAUCAGCCAAGAGAGGCCAACGAGACCUCCUAGGGCUCCACGCUGACAUUUUCAGCUUGUCUUGUCAAACUGUUAAUGAGGUGACACCGCUACCAUGAAGAUUUGUGUGUGUGUGGUGUGUGUCUCUAUGAGUGUUGUUGUGUGUGUGCUUGAGUCCUUCCUUAAUUGGCCAUGUGUGUUUGAGGGCUAACCAGUGAUAUGCCGCGAUAUGCCGAUCGACAGCCAGGUUUUGGGAUUAACGGAAAAGAAAGAACUUUGACAGCUUGAGAGUAUUGCACAUUUCCAUGCUUUACAACACUUAUUUUAGUUAUGUGUUGAAAGAGAUAAGACAUUUAAGGCAUAUUUAAUGCAUUUAAUACAAUUAAACCUUUCAAGGGCAGCUAGCAGUCAUUUAGGAGUCUCUCCUUCUCUUUAUCUUCUUCAAAUUGUUUACCUUACACCUAGAUACCCCCCAUGAGCCAGCCCAGUAAUACUUCUUAUCCCAUAUUUAUGUUUUAUAGGAAAUUUGAUUUUUUAAUCAAGUCAAACACAUUGCACAAGCUCACGACAGAAAUCUAACAAAUCACAUUAUCUGUAUCAAUCUUAGUUGCAACUUAUCUUUACAACCGCCACAACGAGCUGGGAAAUUAUGAAAACACAAAUUCGAAAAUUGGAGACACACAAUCGGGACAAUGUUCGGGGUAUUAAACGUUUACGAUACGAUACGAGACACGAUACAGAGUCAACACAAAUUGUGUUUAAUUUUAAAACAAGAUAAAGUUUAACGAAAAUAGCAAAAAGUUCGAUGCGAUAUCGAAAGGCAAUAAGAAAUUAGCAGACUUAUUGAAAAUUCCAUAUGAGUGGAGGGGAGGCAGAGAGGGAAGAAAUUGCAUCAAGGCGGUGCCAGCUUUGAUGUAUUCUGGCCAUAACGACUCUCGGCAAUUGCUUGCUGACAUGCAAAGAACAUAAUUUUUUCAGUCCAAAACGAAAUUGAUAAACAAUCUCCGUCGUGGUGGUGGUGGUGUUUGCACUUUGCCGGCAAAAGCGAAGACAACUCAAUUGAUUUGUUUACAAGUGCCAUUAAUGUUAGUUGGCAUCAGCACUAGCUCCGUGCCCUGCCCCUCCCUGGUAUGUAAAUGGUUGCCCUCGCCUCCCCAACAUUUCCAUAAACUUGCUGCACUUUUUGUUCCCGUUUCGUAUCUUAUCUGGGGCACUCUUCGGGGCAUUUGAUCGUCAUCGCCAUCGUAGUUUGCUCUUAUUUUCGAUGUAGUUUCAUUUUCCAUUUCCUUUGAUUUUGUCCCUCCCUUAUCUCUUCUCCCAUGCGACUUCAAUUUGUUUUCAAUUUACAACAAUUUCGUUUCAGGUCGUUUUGUCAAUAUGAUUUGUCACUUUUACUAUUUUUUGUUUGCAUAAUGCUACGAUUGUUUAUUGUUACAGUUUGGUACUCUUUUUUAUAUUUUUAUUGCUGUGAUUGUGUAGGCUGAGUAGUAUGGGAAUUUUCUAUUUAAAAUUUGUGGGGAAUUUUUUCAAUUGAUUAUUUUAAUGAAUUAUACUCGAAAUUCUUUAAACUUCUAAUUGAUUAAAAUACAAAAUUAAAUAUUCAAAUAUAAAAUAUAAAUACAAAUAUAUCAAUAGGCUGCUCUAGAAACAAUCUAUGGAAUUCCACUAAAAGAGCCUCUUUUGACCCUUUGCAGCCCCCUCCUGAGUUUCUCUUAACAAUCACAGCCUUUGUUCAGGCAUAAGCAAAGGGUUGGCUAAGGGAAAUGUUAGGAAAUAUUAGUCACACUGCCUAAGCAAAACAAAAUAAACAAAUAAUAUUUUAUGGUAGUUCCCUGCCCCAAUUAAUUUAUAGUCAAACAUCCGCUGCUGCACUUAGGGGCAAAAAAAAGUAAUGCAAGCCUUUUCAUUGUUGCCACCCACAAAGGGGGGAGAGAAAAUUCAAGUGAAAAUUACGUAGCCACGGCGACAAAGUCAAUUGACUUCCGUUAUCGCUGAUAGAGUUCUGCCCCUUCUGCAUAGUGGAGUAUUUAAUAACAGCAUUUUAAAAAGCACUUAACAGCAAAUUAAGCUUUCAGCAGAAGCUGACACAGCCGCCGAGCCAGCCAGGCCUCUCUGUCGGAGAAGAAGACAUUUUUAAUUAUCAACCAUUUACAGGUGAGGCAAGAGGCAGGAGGCAGGAGGCAAGAGAAUAUAUCGCCAACGGUCCAUGGGUCAAUAUCAUAAUCUGAGACAGCAGCAGAAGGAGCAGGAGAAGCCGAAGAGGCAGACGGAACAGAAGGAACAGGAGAAUCAGUGAGAGCAGCAGAGGUGGAAGAUAGCAGGCGGAACAGUAGAAGCAGGCGGAACACUCGUCGUUGAAGCAGCAAACAAGUCGCCAGAGGCGGCAAGGAGCACUGGACGUUGUCAUAAAUCAAAGCGACGCUAUUUGCUGCUGACGAACUGCGUGCAACGGCAGCAGCAGCAACAGGGGCAGCAAACAGACAAGCAACAACAACAACUAUGCCAUUACUGCUGGCCACAACGCUUGGCAACAAUUCCC
rnacentral:lncRNA from 1 species